rnacentral:rRNA from 1 species
UACGUAGGGGGCAAGCGUUGUUCGGAAUUACUGGGCGUAAAGGGCGCGUAGGCGGUUUGCUAAGUUGGAUGUGAAAACUCUGGGCUUAACCCAGAGCCUGCAUCCAAAACUGGCAAACUUGAGUACUGGAGGGGAAAGCGGAAUUCCUGGUGUAGCGGUGAAAUGCGUAGAUAUCUGGAGGAAUACCGGUGGCGAAGGCGGCAUCCUGGACCGGCAUUGACGCUGAUGAGCGAAAGCUAGGGGAGCAAACGGG